rnacentral:tRNA from 1 species
ACCAAAAUGGCAGAAUUUAUGCGUUAAAUUUAAGCUUUAAAGAUAGAACAUUUUCUUUUUGGUA